ensembl:lincRNA
AUGUCAAGCACUGUCUUUAUAAUAAUACAUUUCUACCUUGCAGGUUUGGCUGGCCGCGCCAAGAGCUGGAUGUGUAAAACAUGGAAUAAAAAACGGAAGUGUAAGAAAAUUUGCUCCGUUGAAAAUGAAGCUCCUGUUCAAGACCCAGAGGAGUAUACAACUGAAAGGAUGCAGGAGGAGAUGUCACCUGACAUAGAAAAUGCUACAGGUCCUGUUGAGUUCCUACGGGACUGCAUACUGGAGUGCAGUGACGAGGAGGAGAUGCCCUCUGACCUGGAGAAGCCUCCGGCCCAGUAUCACCACCGUCCUGUUGAGGUCCCACAGGACUGCAUACUGGAGUGCAGUGAUGAGGAGGAGAUGCCCUCUGACCUGGAGAAGCCUCCGGCCCAGUAUUUCCACCGUCCUGUUGAGUUCCUACGGGACUGCAUACUGGAGUACAGUGACAAGGAGGAGAUGCCCUCUGACCUUGAGCAUGUAUAUUUUUAUCUUCAUCGUGAGGAGAAAUGUUUUUUUCUGUGGCCUCCAGAAUAUCAAGUGAGUAUCAUUUUUGGCUACGAUUGUGAAUCAGACCUCAGGUGUCAUGCAUUCUAGUGACCAGUCACUGGAGUUUAUGACGAACUGAGCCUCGAUUCAUGACGUCAGUCAAAAGAUGGCAUAACUUUCAAAGUGGUCGUGUGCAUAUUUCUCAGUGGCAACAUUUUCUUCUUGAAAUAUAAUUUUGUAUUUCCCNNNNNNNNNNNNNNNNNNNNNNNNNNNNNNNNNNNNNNNNNNNNNNNNNNAGUUUGACCUUGAGCACAUUUGUAGCCUCCACUUCCCACCCCUACCACAGAUUCUGAGAUGAGGCUUCUUUCUCUCCAGUUCUCUUAAUUUUUGGGGAAACCAAGAGUUCCUUCCCACAGAAGAUGGCAUUACACUAUUUCCUGUCUUCAAAAAUUAAGCUUCUAUUGUUCUCUAAGUUGAUAUUUAUAAGUUAAGUUCUGGACCUUAAUUUCACUGUGCAGGAAACUCCAUAUGAUAAAAUGUGCUGAUAGCACAUAAUGUCCAUGAUAUGGAUGACAUUUUUAUCUUUGGAGGAUCCUCAUUUUACAUAAUAAGAUACAAAACUAAGUGGGCACCCUCUAUCCAGUCCAGGGCACUUCAUUAAAGAACUGAGUUUGCUGCUGUCUGUCAUUUGCUUUUCUUCAUGAGACCUUUGAACCACCUAAAUAUUGCCAGCACCCUCUUUUGGGACCCUGACAUCUGAGAGGGUGAGAUGGCACAAGUGCAGACAUCCCUGGUUCCUCCCUGAAAUUUCCCUCCUCCUUUAAUCAUCUUCUUCCUUAAGGGACCCGCUCUGGCUGCUAAUGACUUGUUUAGACCUCUCCAGGUUUGGACUAUUAUACAUAGAGUAAGUCAAUAUGUGUUUCUCGGUGUCUGGCUUUUUCGCUCACAUUUUGAUCUGAAAUUCAUUCACGUUCGCAAGUGUAACUGUAGUUCUUCCAUUUCCUUGUUGCAUACCAUUCCACUGUAGUCACGUAUUACAGUUUAUCCACUCUACUGUUGAUUGACAUAGAAUUUUCUUUUUUUGUUUUUAAAUAAUUAUGGCUGUGAGAAGUAAUGUUGCUUUGAGUAUUUUUGUCAAUGGUUUUGGAAUAAUACUGGCACUCAUUUCUGUGAAGUAGAUUGUUAGAAGGGAACAUAUCUUUUAUUGUCCUGAAUAGUGCCAAAUAUUUUUCAAAAUGGUGAUGCUAAUUCAUGCUCCUGUAGCAGCAUAUGUGAGGAGACAUUUCUCCAAAUCCUUGUGAACUCUUAGUUUUAUCUCCCCCCAAAAAUUCCAUCACUGUGGUUAGUCUUUCAUUUGUAUAGCAUCUUACUUAAAAUUUUUAACCAAAAAUUUUGUUUUAAUCUAAUGAUGCAGGCCAGUAGGUUUGCGUACGCCCGUCUGACCCCAGCCAUGUAAGUAAUCAUUGAUCAAAAUGUCACUAUGCCACAUGACUGUACUUAAUAACAGCGCUUAAGUUAUUAAAAUGAAAAGGAUAACUGAUAUACAUUUGAGUCUUGGAUACUAUGUGGUCACUUCUCUAUGUUGCUUCGUUGAAGCAUCACAAUCACUUUGAGGCAUAAUUAGUUUGGUUCUAUUCAUUAUACAGAUGAGGAAUGUGAGUCUCAGUUAAGUAAAUUAUUCACGAGACACACCCACAUUUGGAUCUCUCUAACACCAAUGGCUAAUCUGUAAACUAACAUGCUGCACUGCCUGUAGUGGUGAAGUAGACUUGCCGUAAAGUGAAGUUUGCUUCCACAGCUGGGCGUGUUAGCUUAGUGGGGUUGCUGUUACCCAUUGCUUUAUGGGUUUGAGAUUGGUGUUGCAGAAACCCAGAUGGAGAAGCUC